ACGAACGCUGGCGGCAGGCCUAACACAUGCAAGUCGAACGCCGUAGCAAUACGGAGUGGCAGACGGGUGAGUAACGCGUGGGAACCUUCCCAGUGGUACGGAAUAGCUCAGGGAAACCUGGGGUAAUACCGUAUACGCCCCUCGGGGGAAAGAUUUAUCGCCAUUGGAUGGGCCCGCGUAGGAUUAGCUAGUUGGUGAGGUAACGGCUCACCAAGGCGACGAUCCUUAGCUGGUCUGAGAGGAUGAUCAGCCACACUGGGACUGAGACACGGCCCAGACUCCUACGGGAGGCAGCAGUGGGGAAUAUUGGACAAUGGGCGCAAGCCUGAUCCAGCCAUGCCGCGUGAGUGACGAAGGCCUUAGGGUUGUAAAGCUCUUUUGGCGGGGAAGAUAAUGACGGUACCCGCAGAAUAAGCUCCGGCUAACUUCGU
rnacentral:rRNA from 1 species